GUGUCAGCAGCCGCGGUAAGACGAACUGUCCUAACGUUGUUCGGAAUCACUGGGCUUAAAGGGCGCGUAGGCGGUCCGACAAGUCAGGGGUGAAAUCCUGCAGCUUAACUGCAGAAGUGCCUCUGAUACUGUCGGUCUGGAGGGAGAUAGGGGUGUGCGGAACUUCCAGUGGAGCGGUGAAAUGCGUUGAUAUUGGAAGGAACGCCGGAGGCGAAAGCGGCGCACUGGAUCUCUUCUGACGCUGAGGCGCGAAAGCUAGGGGAGCAAACGGGAUUAGAAACCCCCGUAGUCC
rnacentral:rRNA from 1 species